rnacentral:rRNA from 1 species
AGCGAACGCUGGCGGCAGGCUUAACACAUGCAAGUCGAACGGGCACUUCGGUGCUAGUGGCAGACGGGUGAGUAACGCGUGGGAACGUGCCUUUCGGUUCGGAAUAAUCCAGGGAAACUUGGACUAAUACCGGAUACGCCCUUCGGGGGAAAGAUUUAUCGCCGAAAGAUCGGCCCGCGUCUGAUUAGCUAGUUGGUGAGGUAAAGGCUCACCAAGGCGACGAUCAGUAGCUGGUCUGAGAGGAUGAUCAGCCACAUUGGGACUGAGACACGGCCCAAACUCCUACGGGAGGCAGCAGUGGGGAAUAUUGGACAAUGGGCGCAAGCCUGAUCCAGCCAUGCCGCGUGAGUGAUGAAGGCCUUAGGGUUGUAAAGCUCUUUUGUCCGGGAAGAUAAUGACUGUACCGGAAGAAUAAGCCCCGGCUAACUUCGUGCCAGCCGCCGCCGUAACAC